AAAAAAUAAAAUAAAAUUGAAGAGUAGUUAAUCAGAAAGCAUUGGAGUUGUUUGGAAGAGACUUAGGGUUCUAAGAAUCACCUUGUCAAGCUUGCUUCAAUUGUCAGUAUUAGCAGUACUAUUGGUUUGCAUCAGUUUUAUUGUAAGUAAUCAUUUGUGGAAUCAUUUUCUGCUUCACAGGUCCCUCUAAACAAUAUGUUUGGGUACUCAACACCACUUCGUUCAAUGACUCAGGGGAAAGGUGAAUUCACAAUGGAAUACAAAGAGCAUUCACCGGUUUCUCAAGAUGUGCAGCUGCAAUUAGUGAACACCUACAAGGCCAAUAAGGCAGCUGAAAAUAGUUAGGAUUCUGCUGUGACUUUUUGAGGAACACGUCCCUACAUUCAUAGUGUAAGCCAUCUCUUAUUUUUUUAUAUUUAUCCGGGCCAAAAGUGUUCUGGUCUCUAAAUUUU